rnacentral:rRNA from 1 species
ACCCCGGGAGGGGAGUGAAAGAGAACCUGAAACCCUGUGUUUACAAGCUGUGGAACAUCAUUAUUCGAUGAACCGCGUACUUUUUGUAGAACGGUCCGGCGAGUUACGCUUACUGGCAAGGUUAAGCACUUCAGGUGUGGAGCCGUAGGGAAACCAAGUCUUAAGAGGGCCAGAGUCAGUAGGAGUAGACCCGAAACCGGGUGAUCUAUCCAUGUCCAGGUUGAAGCUGCCGUAAGAGGUAGUGGAGGACCGAACGCACAUCCGUUGAAAAGGGUGGCGAUGAGGUGUGGAUAGGGGAGAAAUUCCAAUCGAACCCGGAGAUAGCUGGUUCUCCUCGAAAUAGCUUUAGGGCUAGCCUCGUAUUAGUCUAGUGGAGGUAGAGCACUGAAUUUCCUAGGGGGCGUCAAAGCUUACCGAAGAAUAUCAAACUCCGAAUGCCAUAUAGAUGAUGUACGGGAGUCAGACUGCACGAGAUAAGUUGGGCAGUCAAAAGGGAAAGAGCCCAGACCGCCAGCUAAGGUCCCAAAGUGUGUGUUAAGUGGAAAAGGAUGUGGGAUUUCGAAGACAACUAGGAUGUUGGCUCAGAAGCAGCCAUACAUUAAAAGAGUGCGUAAUAGCUCACUAGUCGAGAGGUCCUGCGCCGAAAAUGUCCGGGGCUGAAACACAACACCGAAGCUGCGGAAUUGCGAAUGCAAUUGGUAGAGGAGCAUUCUUAAUACCGACGAAGCUGUACCGGAAGGAGCAGUGGAGGGAUAAGAAGAGAGAAUGCCGGAAUGAGUAGCGAGAGAGAGGUGGGAAUCCUCUCGGCCGAAUAUCCAAGGUUUCCAGAGUAAAGCUGAUCUGCUCUGGGUAAGUCGGGACCUAAGGCGAGGCCGAGAGGCGUAGCCGAUGGACAACAGGUUGAGAUUCCUGUACUACAGUAUAACAGAACUGUGGGGACGCAGAAGGAGAGCACUACCUGGAAUGGAAUCCAGGGGCAAGCACAGGAGGGGUACGGCUGGAAAAACCGCCGUGCAACCCAAAGGUGUGACGCAUACCGAACUAAAGUAGGGAAAUGUGUGAGCCGGCUGCCGAGAAAAGCCGCUAUUGUUUGUACUGUACCCGUACCGUAAACCGACACAGGUGGAUGAGGAGAGAAUCCUAAGGCCGACGGAAGAAGCAUUGCUAAGGAACUCGGCAAAAUGACCCUGUAACUUCGGGAGAAAGGGUGCCUCGAAAGAGGCCGCAGAGAAUAGGCCCAAGCAACUGUUUAGCAAAAACACAGGUCUAUGCAAAACCGCAAGGUGAAGUAUAUGGGCUGACGCCUGCCCGGUGCUGGAAGGUUAAGGGGAGAUGUCAGGAGACGAAGCAUCGAACUUAAGCCCCAGUAAACGGCGGCCGUAACAAUAACGGUCCUAAGGUAGCGAAAUUCCUUGUCGGGUAAGUUCCGACCCGCACGAAAGGCGUAAUGAUUUGGGCGCUGUCUCGGCAAUGCAUCCGGUGAAAUUGAAGUGCCAGUGAAGAUGCUGGCUACCCGCGCCAGGACGGAAAGACCCCAUGGAGCUUUACUCCAGCUUGAUACUGGGAUUCGGUAUUGUAUGUACAGGAUAGGUGGGAGGCUGAGAAAUGGUGACGCCAGUCGCCAUGGAGCCGCUGUUGGGAUACCACCCUUGCAGUACUGGAUUUCUAACCAGCAGCCGUAAUCCGGCUGGGGGACAAUGUCAGGUGGGGAGUUUGACUGGGGCGGUCGCCUCCGAAAGGGUAUCGGAGGCGCUCAAAGGUUCCCUCAGAAUGGUCGGAAACCAUUCGAAGAGUGCAAAGGCAGAAGGGAGCUUGACUGCGACACCGACGG